rnacentral:rRNA from 1 species
AGUGAACGCUGGCGGUAGGCCUAACACAUGCAAGUCGAACGGCAGCACAGUAAGAGCUUGCUCUUACGGGUGGCGAGUGGCGGACGGGUGAGGAAUACAUCGGAAUCUACUUUUUCGUGGGGGAUAACGUAGGGAAACUUACGCUAAUACCGCAUACGACCUACGGGUGAAAGCAGGGGAUCUUCGGACCUUGCGCGAUUGAAUGAGCCGAUGUCGGAUUAGCUAGUUGGCGGGGUAAAGGCCCACCAGGGCGACGAUCCGUAGCUGGUCUGAGAGGAUGAUCAGCCACACUGGAACUGAGACACGGUCCAGACUCCUACGGGAGGCAGCAGUGGGGAAUAUUGGACAAUGGGCGCAAGCCUGAUCCAGCCAUACCGCGUGGGUGAAGAAGGCCUUCGGGUUGUAAAGCCCUUUUGUUGGGAAAGAAAAGCAGCAGGUUAAUACCCCGCUGUCCUGACGGUACCCAAAGAAUAAGCACCGGCUAACUUCGUG